GUGGCGAACGGGUGAGUAACACGUGAGUAACCUGCCCCCCACUUCGGGAUAACCUCGGGAAAUCGUGGCUAAUACCGGAUACGAGCACUCAUCGCAUGGUGAGUGCUGGAAAGAUUUAUCGGUGGGGGAUGGACUCGCGGCCUAUCAGUUUGUUGGUGAGGUGAUGGCUCACCAAGACGAUGACGGGUAGCCGGCCUGAGAGGGCGACCGGCCACACUGGGACUGAGACACGGCCCAGACUCCUACGGGAGGCAGCAGUGGGGAAUAUUGCACAAUGGGCGAAAGCCUGAUGCAGCGACGCCGCGUGGGGGAUGACGGCCUUCGGGUUGUAAACCCCUUUCAGUAGGGAAGAAGCGAGAGUGACGGUACCUGCAGAAGAAGCGCCGGCUAACUACGUGCCAGCAGCCGCGGUAAUACGUAGGGCGCAAGCGUUGUCCGGAAUUAUUGGGCGUAAAGAGCUUGUAGGUGGCUUGUCGCGUCUGCCGUGAAAACCCGAGGCUCAACCUCGGGCGUGCGGUGGGUACGGGCAGGCUAGAGUGUGGUAGGGGAGACUGGAACUCCUGGUGUAGCGGUGAAAUGCGCAGAUAUCAGGAAGAACACCGAUGGCGAAGGCAGGUCUCUGGGCCAUUACUGACACUGAGAAGCGAA
rnacentral:rRNA from 1 species